UGGGAGAGGUCCCCAGGUGGCAAUGGGCAGUAUGUUUCCUGUCAACUGGGUCUCUCCUAGA
rnacentral:pre_miRNA from 1 species